rnacentral:tRNA from 1 species
AGUCUAGCGUAGUCAUCGGUUCAAUCCGAUAAAGGGCU